rnacentral:rRNA from 1 species
GAUGAACGCUGGCGGCGUGCUUAACACAUGCAAGUCGAACGGGAAAUAUUUCAUUGAGACUUCGGUGGAUUUGAUCUAUUUCUAGUGGCGGACGGGUGAGUAACGCGUGGGUAACCUGCCUUAUACAGGGGGAUAACAGUCAGAAAUGGCUGCUAAUACCGCAUAAGCGCACAGAGCUGCAUGGCUCAGUGUGAAAAACUCAGGUGGUAUAAGAUGGACCCGCGUUGGAUUAGCUUGUUGGUGGGGUAACGGCCCACCAAGGCGACGUGCCAUAGCCGGCCUGAGAGGGUGAACGGCCACAUUGGGACUGAGACACGGCCCAGACUCCUACGGGAGGCAGCAGUGGGGAAUAUUGCACAAUGGGGGAAACCCUGAUGCAGCGACGCCGCGUGAAGGAAGAAGUAUCUCGGUAUGUAAACUUCUAUCAGCAGGGAAGAUAGUGACGGUACCUGACUAAGAAGCCCCGGCUAACUACGUGCCAGCAGCCGCCGUAA